rnacentral:rRNA from 1 species
GCGCAGCAGGCGCGAAUCCUUCGCAAUGCGGGAAACCGCGACGAGGGGACUCCCAGUGCCUACGCUCAGCGUAGGCUGUUCCCGAGCCUAGAAAGCUCGGGGAGUAAGGGCUGGGUAAGACGGGUGCCAGCCGCCGCGGUAAUACCCGCAGCCCGAGUGGUGGCCACUAUUAUUGGGCCUAAAGCGUCCGUAGCCGGCCCGGUAAAUGCCUGGGUAAAUCGUGAGGCCUAACCUCACGAAUUCCGGGUAGACUGCCGGGCUAGGGACCGGAGGAGGGAGAGGGGUACUCCAGGGGUAGGGGUGAAAUCCUGUAAUCCCUGGAGGACCACCGGUGGCGAAGGCGCUCUCCUAGGACGGGUCCGACGGUGAGGGACGAAAGCCAGGGGAGCGAACCGGAUUAGAUACCCGUGUAGU